AACGAACGCUGGCGGCAUGCCUAACACAUGCAAGUCGAACGAUAACUUCGGGUCUGGUGGCGCACGGGUGCGUAACGCGUGGGAACCUGCCCUUAGGCUCGGCAUAACUCUCCGAUAGGGGUACUAAACCCGGGUAAUGUCUUGGGACCAAGGAUUUAUCGACUUUGGGUGGGCCCGAGUUGGAUUGGCUAGUGGGUAGGGUAAAAGCCUACCAAGGGGAGGAUCCAUAGCUGGCGGGAGAGGACGAUCAGCCACACGGGAACUGAGACACGGCCCAGAGUCAGGCGGGAGGCAGGAGUGGGGAACAAUGGACGAUGGGCGGAAGCAUGAUCCAGCAGUGCCGGGUGAGGGAUGAAGGGUUGAAAGUCGUAAAGAUCUGUGACGCGGCAUGAUGAUGACAGAACCGGAGGAAUAAGCCCCGGCUAAUUCCGG
rnacentral:rRNA from 1 species